rnacentral:rRNA from 1 species
AUGAUCGGGGAAAAUGUAUUGAGGAGUGAAAUAUGGGAAUUGCCAUCAGAUCAGAACAAUAUACUACCAGCUCUGAGAUUGAGUUACAAUCAUUUGCCGCCCGUACUGAAGAGAUGUUUUGCAUUUUGCUCGGUCUUUUACAAAGAUUAUGUGUUUGAGAAAGACAGGUUGGUCCAGAUAUGGAUGGCCCUUGGGUUUAUUCAGCCACAGCAGAGGAGAAGAAUUGAAGAGAUUGGAAGUAGCUAUUUUGAUGAAUUACUAAGCAGGUCCUUCUUCCGAUAUCACAAAGGUGGAUAUGUGAUGCAUGAUGCUAUGCAUGAACUAGCACAGUCGGUCUCAAUUGAUGAAUGCCUCAGACUGGAUGACCUUCCAAACAGCAGCAACCCUGCAAGAAGUGCCAGACACCUAUCAUUCUCUUGUGAAAAUAGAAGUGAGACUUCAUUUGAAGCCUUUCUUGGAUUUAAGAGAGCACGGACACUUCUACUGCUAAGUGGAUAUAAAUCAACGACGAGGUUUAUCCCCGGUGAUUUGUUCCUCAAGUUAAGGUACCUCCAUGUGCUUGAUUUGAACCGACGGGACAUUACCAAGUUGCCAGAUUCUAUUGGAAGCUUAAAAAUGCUACGGUAUUUGAAUCUCUCGGGCACUGGUAUUGCAAUGUUGCCUUCAUCAAUUGGUAGGCUCUUCAGCUUGCAAAUACUUAAGUUGAAAAACUGCCAUGAAUUAGGUUGCCUCCCACAAAGCAUAACCAAUCUUGUAAAUCUUCGAUGGCUAGAAGCAAGAACAGAGUUGGUCACAGAGAUAUCCGGAAUAGGCAACUUAACUUGCCUUCAACAGUUGGAUGAAUUUGUGGUCCGUACGGACAAGGGAUACAAGAUCAAUGGAUUGAAGACAAUGAAGGGGAUCCGAGGUCAUAUUUGUAUUAAGAAUAUCGAGAGUGUGGCUAGUGCAGAGGAGGCAAGUCAAGCUUUUCUCAGCGAGAAGACAUUCAUCAACAUCCUAGACCUUGUAUGGUCCGAUAACAGGAACUUACCAUCAGAAGAAGUAAAUUCAGACAAAAAGAUACUUGAAGUCCUUCAGCCAAAUCAUGAACUGAAGGAGCUAACUAUCAAGGCAUCCGCAGGCUCCUCCUUUCCAAAUUGGUUAAGUAGUCUUUCCCACUUGCAAACCAUCCACUUGUCUGAUUGCACGAAAUGCUCGAUUCUACCAGCGCUGGGAGAGCUGCCUCAACUCAAGUAUUUAGAUAUUGGUGGGUUUCCGGCCAUUAUUCAAAUCAACCAUGAAUUUUCAGGUACCAAUGAAAUUAAGGGGUUUCCAGCACUGAAAGAGCUCUUAUUUGAAGACAUGACUAGUCUUGAAAAGUGGGCCUCUGUAACUGAUGGUGAAUUUCUUCCGUCCCUCACAGAACUUGCAGUUAUGGACUGCCCCCAAGUAACAGAAUUCCCACUCCUCCCAUCAACAUUAGUGAAGUUCAAAAUUUCUGAAACAGGGUUCGCUAUUCAUCCAGAAGUCCAUAUUCCAAAUUCUUGGUUUCCAUCGUCGUUAGAAUGCUUAGAGAUUCAUCAGUGUCCAAAUCUCAAAUCCUUAAAGGAAGGACUGCUUAACCAGCAAUUAUUGGCUCUCCAGCAGUUAACUAUCACUCACUGUUUAGACCUAAAGGAAAUGCCAGUUGAAGGAUUCAGAUCCCUAAUUGCUCUUAGGAGUCUUCACAUUUAUGAUUGUCCAAGGCUGGCACCAUCAGGACAUCAUAGCUUGCUGCCCUCCAAUCUUGAAGACUUGCGCAUCAGCUCUUGUUCCGAUCUUAUUAACCCUCUUCUUCGGGAGCUUAAUGAGCUCUCUUCGCUGACACAUCUCGCGAUCACCAAUUGUGCUAGCCUUCAUUCUUUUCCAGUAAAGCUCCCUGUCACUCUGCAAAAACUGGAGAUCCUCAAUUGCAGUAAUCUGAUCUACUUGCCUGGUGGUCUCGAAGAUGCACCGUGUCUAUCAGCUAUAACCAUCUUGAAAUGUCCUCUCAUACCAUGCUUACCAAGGCGCCUUACAAAAUCGUUGAAAGAACUGUAUAUCAAAGGAUGCCCAUAUCUAACAGAGAGCUGCCAAGAAAACAGUGGAAGAGAUUGGCAUAGAAUUGCUUAUGUACCAAUCAUGGAGAUCGAUGAUGAU